GACGAACGCUGGCGGCGUGCCUAAUACAUGCAAGUAGAACGCUGAAGGGAGAGCUUGCUCUUCUGGAUGAGUUGCGAACGGGUGAGUAACGCGUAGGUAACCUGCCUGGUAGCGGGGGAUAACUAUUGGAAACGAUAGCUAAUACCGCAUAACAUUGACUAUUGCAUGAUAGUCAAUUGAAAGGUGCAAUUGCACCACUACCAGAUGGACCUGCGUUGUAUUAGCUAGUUGGUGGGGUAACGGCUCACCAAGGCGACGAUACAUAGCCGACCUGAGAGGGUGAUCGGCCACACUGGGACUGAGACACGGCCCAGACUCCUACGGGAGGCAGCAGUAGGGAAUCUUCGGCAAUGGACGGAAGUCUGACCGAGCAACGCCGCGUGAGUGAAGAAGGUUUUCGGAUCGUAAAGCUCUGUUGUAAGAGAAGAACGAGUGUGAGAGUGGAAAGUUCACACUGUGACG
rnacentral:rRNA from 1 species